CGGGGGGGGCAAGCGUUGUUCGGAAUUACUGGGCGUAAAGGGCGCGUAGGCGGCCUACUAAGUCGGACGUGAAAUCCCUCGGCUCAACCGAGGAACUGCGUCCGAUACUGGCAGGCUGGAAUCCGGGAGAGGGAUGUGGAAUUCCAGGUGUAGCGGUGAAAUGCGUAGAUAUCUGGAGGAACACCGGUGGCGAAGGCGGCAUCCUGGACCGGUAUUGACGCUGAGGCGCGAAAGCUAGGGGAGCAAACGGGAUUAGAUACCCCGGUAGUCCUAGCCCUAAACGAUGAGUGCUUGGUGUGGCGGGUAUCGAUCCCUGCCGUGCCGAAGCUAACGCAUUAAGCACUCCGCCUGGGGAGUACGGUCGCAAGGCUG
rnacentral:rRNA from 1 species